CAGUCGCCGCGGGAAUACGAAGGGGGCUAGCGUUGCUCGGAAUGACUGGGCGUAAAGGGCGCGUAGGCGGAUCACGCAGUCAGAUGUGAAAUUCCUGGGCUUAACCUGGGGGCUGCAUUUGAGACACGUGGUCUAGAGUGUGAAAGAGGGUCGUGAAAUUCCCAGUGUAGAGGUGAAAUUCGUAGAUAUUGGGAAGAACACCGGUGGCGAAGGCGGCGACCUGGUUCAUAACUGACGCUGAGGCGCGAAAGCGUGGGGAGCAAACAGGAUUAGAUACCCCUGUAGUCCCUGUCUCUUAUAC
rnacentral:rRNA from 1 species